rnacentral:lncRNA from 1 species
CUAGUAAGAAGUAUGUAUUUUAUAUUACUGAAGUAAAGUUAACUAAGUAUAUGUGAGUCAGGAAGGCUAUUACAAUUUACAGUGCAUCAAACAGCGUCACCAGUGAAAACUUAUGCUAAUUGCAGGCGCUCGGGACAAGAUAAGGGUCUAUAACGGAAGCUGAAGAGUUUUUUUUUUCUUCCCCGAGUCUCUUUCACUUGUGUGAUUCAACUCUCUAGUAACAUUGUUUAAUAGGCAACUAUAGCAGAGAGGACCCAUUUCUCUCUCCCUCUCUUACUCUACCGGUGUAUAUUAAAUUACCAGGAAGUACGUUUUCAGCGCUUGCUUGCCUCUAGCUUGAGGCAGAAACAACAUUCUAUCUGUAUUGUUAAUAUUUCAUCACAUCCCUGCCAACACACCCAACUAGUAUAAUAACUUAUGCGACAAAAUAUAAAAACCAAUGAGAUGGGGGUUUAAGAACAAGAGAACAGACAACAGGCGGACUUGAGACCUGAGGGAGGGGUGUGAAAACUAAUCAACCAAAAAAGAAAAAAGAAAGAUUUUUUUUUUUAAAUAUUAAGAAGCUCUGUCGAGUCCUGGUCACACAAGUUCUGCGAGUAUCAUGGGUGGCGCGUGCACGUUAAAAAAAAUAGACGAGAGAGUUUCUUCUGAUUUUACUGUAGGCUACUAAAAGCACAAAAAUAUCAACAUAUCCUUUAAGGAUGGAGGACAGAAUGGAAAAACGCGAAAAAGGAAACGAGGAAGAAAGCCGGCGCGGGAGCAAAAAAUAGAAAAAAAGAAGAAGGAAAAACAAACCACGAAGGUGUUCAAGAGACGUUAAAAUAGACGAGAGAGUUUCUUCUGAUUUUACUGUAGGCUACUAAAAGCACAAAAAUAUCAACAUAUCCUUUAAGGAUGGAGGACAGAAUGGAAAAACGCGAAAAGGAAACGAGGAAGAAAGCCGGCGCGGGAGCAAAAAUAGAAAAAAGAAGAAGGAAAAACAAAACCACGAAGGUGUUCAAGAGAUAUUGCUACUUCUCUCUCCUUAAGCCAAACACCACGUCUCCCUCUCUCUCUUACUCUCUCUCUCUCUUAUUUUUAUUAUUCAGGACAUACCCCCGCGUUUAUGGCUACGUAAGAUUUAUGACUUCCACCAUACACAGGCAGCUGUAA